UCCUUUCACCAAUUUGCCCCUACGAUCAAAAUAUGGUUGUAACAAUAAACAACGAUUCAAACUUGAUUUGUAGAGGAAACCAUGUCAUGAUACAAAACAAAACCACAUCAAGAAGGGUAUAUGUUACUUUUUUAAGUAAUAGUAGCAGUAGUUGUAUAAUUAUAGUUGUUAGAUGUUUAACUGUUUGUAAAUUUUAUUUGGUUAAGUAGUAGUUAUGAUAGAUAUUGAAGAAUAAUUUAUUGAUAAAAAUGUAUAAAAAAUCUAAAAGUACUACCUUGAUUUUAGUUUUGAAAAGUUGCAAGUUGUAACAUUAUCGUAAUAGCUAUAUGCACCACUAAUCCUAUUUAAAGUGCUACUUAAGAAAAUAAUGAUAUUUUUAUAAACUAACAAUAAUAAAUACUUAAUUUUCACGCCAAACACUCAUUCUAAAAGUAUAAAUAUUAACACAGUAAACUGACAUCCUAAAUUAUAAAAUAGUCCAUUGGCAAACUUUACUUGUGUUUCAUAAUCUCUAUAAUUAUUAUAAAUUGUUAUUGUUAUGUUAAUCUACAAUUGAUAUAUAUAGUUUCCUCCCACCAUAGCUUUCCCGCCAUAACCAAUCUCAAAAACUACCACGAUGUCAAACCAAAAAACAUCAGACAACAAAAAUACAACCACCUCGAUCGACCCAAUUCGACUCCACAACAUCAACGUCAAACUUCUUGCAUUUGACUUCAACUCUUUAACAAAAUCCCACUCUUUUUCCACUUCUUCUUCCUCCAAUCCGAUUAUCUUCUCUCGCAAAGGAAUACCCAUUUCACUGGUCGAAGUAUUCGGAAUUGUUGUAACCCGGGAACUUAAACCCGACAAAUUCUUAAGGUUUUCCAUUGAUGAUGGUACUGGUUGUGUACAAUGUAUUCUUUGGCUAAAUCAAUUGACAUCACCGUACUUUUUUAGGAGACGCACACCAGAUGUUCACGCAAUUGCCCAAAUGGCAAGUAUUCAUUGUAGUCGGGUUCAGAUUGGAUUUAGUUGUAGGGUUCGUGGUAGGGUUUCGAGUUUUCACGGUUUGCUCCAGAUUACUGUGGAUGAUGUAGUGGUGGAGAGAGAUCCUAAUUAUGAUGUUCUGCAUUGGCUGGAUUGUAUUAACUUGGCUCGAAAGCUGUAUAAUGCUAUGCCUUCUUGCAAGAGAUGAGGCUUCGUCAAUGAACAUACAUUCUUCUAAAUUCCAAUGAACAUGCUUUGGAAUGUUGUUGCGCUGAUCAAGAUGCAAGUAUAUGAUUUUGAUUGAAGAAGUAGCUUGGAAGUCAUAACGGACAGGUGCAUCUUCUUUUCAUGGGAGCUCAUUUGCUAAGAACUCCACAGUUAAACGUGCAUGGUGUGGAGCAAUCUUUUUUAGGGCACGCACGAGUGAGGCCAAAGUGCGCUGGAAAGACUUAUGUUGGUUUGUGGGGCCAGUCUACAGUCUCCAUGAAUAGUCACCAGCGGUUCGAGGGGCCGAGGUGUUACAGUAAUUCCCAAUGUUUUAUUCUCCAAGAUUCAUAUCAUUUUAAUAGAUCAGUCAAAACGAUGGGCUAAAUUGGUUUUGGAUGGGAUUCUCUACAAUUGAGUUAUUAUGGGUCACAUCAUUUUGGGUUAGGUCAUUAGUCAUUUGUAGUUAGAUCGAGAUAGUUUCGCAUCCACAACAACAUUGAUAUCAUAUUACUCGAACUUGGGUAUAUGUUUAAGCAUCUGACUUGGUUUUAUGAAAAGAUUCCAAAUAUUUUAAUCCGAAUUGAAGUGUUCAACGUCCCAUCUAUACCCGACUAAAAAUAACACAAAUACUUUAAUUAAAGUGAAGAAUAUGAGCAACCGAGAUUUGGUUAGUGUUAUUAACAUUCGGUAAUAGAAGUACUUCCUACAACCAUGGCAGGGCCCAAUAGGCAAUAGGUACAUGAAAGCUCACCUCUUUUUCCACAUGGAUCUCAUGAGAAACCCAAACCACAAAUUAUAUGUACAACUACACUUAUUAUUUUCUAAUUUCUAAAUGAUAGUUGCAAAGUUAUGCAUUUAUUCUCUAAAUAUACCUGUGCAUUUGUUAUGUUACAUUUUGUUCACUUUAUCUUUUGUUAUUGAAUGUAUCAUGUCAACCAAUUUUUUAUUAUUUUUAUUUUUUUUUUACUAUUUUCGUCUUUCAUAAAUGGGCGAAUUUCAUUUUUUAAAAUAAAAGUGUAGCAAAUUCUUCAAAACAUGCAAUAUGGAUUAGUAUACCAAAUUUCGAGAACACACGGUAUUGAAAAGAUAUUUUUAUGCACAAAUUCUUGUGUGAGAUGGUCUUAUUGUAAGAUAUUCCUCAUAUAUAGGUUGGGUAGCCCAAUUAAUAUUAUUUAUUAGCAUAUGGACUCCUUGUUUUGAAGUCAUCUCACCGAGAGACGAUAUCUCUCAAGAAUAAUUCAUAUAUAUGUUGGUAUUGAAAUCACAAUUUUAUGUCGUCGUCGUCGUCGUCAUUAUCAUCAUCGUCAUACCCAGUGUAUCCCGCUCAUAGAAAGCUAUUAUCAAGGUCCGAGUAAAAAAGGGAGGCGGCAACCCAUACCCCUGAAGGAGAAUGCGGCCAAAGAGUCCUUCGACUCUAAACUUAAAAGAUACGUUCUUGCAUGAAAAUUGCUCGUUGAAGUCAGAAUCGCAAGCCCACAUUCUUGACCCUUAGGUACAAAAUAUAAAAAAGAUAAAGCAUAUAACUGAAAAGGCUAGGUAAAAAUACGAGUAAAAGCAUGAUAAGACAAAGGCCAAGAACAAGAAUUCCAGUAAACGAGAGUGUCAGUAGUCUAAGACAUGAAUAAGGCGUUUCCAACUACCUCUAUCCUAGUCAAGUCUUUGGAGGGGUUUAAGUCAUGCAAGUCAUUUUUUAUUGCUCUUCCUAUGUUCUCCUAGGUCUUCUUCGACUUCUCUUACCCUCCACUAUGAUACUUUUGAUUCUCUUCACGGAGGCGUUUAAAGUUUUCUUCUGCACAUGACCAAACUAUCUCAAUUUAUGUUCACGCAUCUUUGAAGAAAUAGGCGCAAUUUCUAGUUUCCCUCUAAACUCUUGGUUCUUAAUUCUAUCCAUCAUUGUGUGACCACACAUCCACCUCAACAUCAGCAUUUCUGUGACUUCCAUCUUAUGUUCAAAAGUCUUUUUUACGGGCCAACAUUUUAUCCCAUACAACAAAGCAGGCCUGAUUGCAACUCUGUAGAAUUUACCUUUUAACCUACUUGGAAACUUUCUAUCACAUAUCACUCUUGUGCCUGCUCGCCACUUGAGCCAAUCCGCUUGUAUUCAAUGGGUAACAUUUCCAUCGAUCUCCCCAUUACUUUGAAUAAUCGAUCCCAAAUAUCUAAAUUUGGUCGUACAUGCAAUAACUCCUUCAUCGAUGGUCAUCUUUGGCUUCCAAUCGAAUCUGUCCCACUAAAAUUACAUCGCAAAUAUUCUAUCUUCGUGCGAUUUAUGCGCAACCUUGCGAUUUAUCCCAACCCUUUGGACUUAUUACUUGCAUCGCAUCACAAUUUUAUGGCUAGCAUUAAAUUAUGCAUAAAAUGAUUUUGUACUUGUUACUCUAAGUUAUCUUGAAACAUUGUUGGGAAAUAGAUAUAAUGCAAUAAUGUCGUUUGAGGAAUUUUGGCUUGCAUAAGAUAAGAAUUUUACAUGAUUGAUUGAAGAUGUCCUAAGUAUCUCCACCUUCAUUGGACCAUUAAAUUAGACUUGAGUCCAAUCCAAUGGGUUUGAGGUGGUUUUAUGUUGAUUAAACAUCAAGGUUUGUCUAUGUCAAAAAUUAACACAUCUCUAUCUCAAUUUAUUUUCAUAAUAAAAUAUGCAAAGGGAGUCUUGAUGCACCAAUUUUUGUGUUAGUUUGUAAUUACUAGAUUGAUAGGACUCUUUCUCUAAGUGUAAGGAUGUUUUGUGCACUAGGCUGCGCUUUAUAUUUAUUAUGUAAAGUGAUACUAAUUCGAUUUUUGUUUAUAUUUAUAUCCUCGUGGCUCUCAAUAUACACAAAGAAAAAGUAUAUGUUAUAAUUAUCACUCAAAAUAUUUUACUCCUUACCCAUUCUUCGUGAGCAGUAUCGAUAUAAUUAAUUACGAAUCAUCAUUUCAUUUUAAAAUUCACCAACACUUUUUAGGUUAUUCUUUCCAAUGAUUGAAAAAAUAUCAUGUUUAGAAUUUUAUAUCUUCUAUGGAUUUUAUAAAAAAAAAAUUAAGUUACUAGAUGAAGUCCUUAUAUAAUCAUGUAACAAAAAGAAUUAUUAUUAUUGGCUUAAUGCAAUGUUCUAUUAGUGGUCCUUUGUUAUGGUUUAUGUAAGAUUCCACAAUCCAUCUUUGGCAUAAUAAGAUGUCAUAAAAUCUUUGGGUUUUUUGUUUGAUAAUGGAAUAUACGCCUAACUCCAAUUACAAUAUGUUUGGGAUUAUGAUGCAAUCACAUUAUCGGAGAAAGAUUGUGACAUUUUAUGCUGUAGAGUGUAGGCCAAUUCUCUAUGAUAAAAGAGGGAUUUCAGCUUUACUAACUGAUAGCAUCAUUUGGGUUUCAAUUUUGAAGGUUUGGCUUAUAGUGUAAUUAGAAUUAGACAAAUAUAUCUAGGUCUCUCAAAUUAGUACUAUCUGACUCUUAUUGGGGUUUAAAUACAGAUUUUUGGGAUCACUUUUAUUAAGUGUUUUUUUCUUCUGCUAUCCAAUUCUGCACUUUACAAGUGUCAUAAGCAUCAACUUUGGCAGGUUAUUUUUUAUUUCUUCUAUUUGUUUUUUGGUUAUUAUAUGCUGCUUUGAGAUGAUUGUUGUUUAUAGGUUCAUGUCCUAGUGCUUGAAUGUGAUUUUAGUCAUUUUAAGGGUGUUUUCAAUGGUAUUUUGGUAAGAUCUUGAAAAAUGUGAGUUGGGGUUAUUUUGGGAUAUUAGAGGGUGAUUAUCUAUGUUAGAUUGAAGUCACUCUCAUAGAUAGACUUGCAACACGGGUCGUGCUAGACUGCGUUAUAGCGGGUCAUCACAUGCCCGACAAAUCACUAUACAACCAGUCACGCUCAAACAAUAUCACGUAACACGAGCACAUGGUCUAUGUGAGUCUAUGUUGUAUUGUGCCAAUCCUACAAAAUAGUGAUUGCGGCACAUCCAUGCCCCAUUGUGAUUGUUGGCAGAAUGUGUCGUGCCAGGACAUGAGUGUGUCGUCCUCGUAUUGCCUUGCUUGUGUGCCAAGUCCAUUUCUACUCUAGAUGUUUUACUACAUAUAUUUUAAUUUAUUUGUUACAUUUUAACCAAAAAACUUUCGCAAUUUUCACGAAAAUUAACGAUAACAUACAAAAUCAUAAGCCAAAUUACUCAGAUAUCAUUUAUUGUACUAACAGCGAUUGACCCUGGUGAAAGCUAUGCAUCCCUUAGAGAAUGUGCGGAAAAUCCUGUCAAUAUUUUGUGAAAAGUCUCCCAAUUUUCUAACAUGCUUUGUAGGGUCAUCCCAAGUCCACUUGGGCACUACACUAGGACCAUAAAUUAUGAAUUUUACCCACAAGAAAGUACUCGAUCCAUAUUUUUUAUUAGUUCAUUUUAAUUAUUUUUACUAUUCAGUAUUCAUAGACAAGUUUGAUUCUAACUCCCUAUUUGAUAAUUAAUAAAUAUUGAAUGGUGAGAAUAAUAAUGAAAAGUUAGUUUAAUUUUAACAGAAAAAUCUCUAGACAAAGUUAAUAUUUAUAUUUGUUCUCUUUUUAUCAUCUCAUUUUCUCUACAAUAUUCAUUUCAAUUCAUCACCAAUUGAAAAUGUAUUAAAUAGUAAUGAAAAAUUGUGAAAAAAAACUUUUUUUAUGAUCAAAGAUCUAUUACCAUGAAAAUGACAAAGUAUAUUUCAUAAAAAUUUACACUAUAAAUCAUUUCCACUGUCGUCUUUUAGUACCAAGAACCUAAUAAGACUUGUGAGAUUUUUAAUUGAAUACAUCGUAAGACCAAAGAAUUAGGAGAUUAGAAUUAUAAUAGGAGUAAUAAUUAACACUAUAAUCAUGUUAUUUAGGUAAUGAAAAGAGGGUAGUAUUGAAUUAAUUGGACGUAUAGGGUAAUGUACGUACAUUAGAUGAUACUAUACGUAAAAGCUUAAUCAUUGUUUCAAUCCUCAAUCCAAAUAAUUAGAACUUAGAAGUAGUAUCUAAUAGAAUUCAAAUUUUGAUAAAUGUGACAGAAAGUCUGUUUAGAUGAGCUAAUACCUAUUUAUAGUACUCUAUAUUAAUACCAUGAUAUUAAUCUGAUUUUAACGACUUUACCAAAACCCAUUAUAUAGAAUACGAUAAUGGAAGUAUGUGUCAAAACUACUUCAAUUCUCAUAAAAAAAAGUUAUGCUUCCCUAUUUUAUCGAGAUUGUUACACUUAUUUGUAAAAAAAUUUUGUAUUAAAAGGUCACAUAUAACAAUUAAAAUCAAAUGUUAUAAUCUAAAUGGAACUAAGUGAAUUGAUUUUGUAGUACCUCCAUAAACUAGUUCGUACUUGCUUUUGUUGUGCAUUCCAACUCACAUAUUAAUGUGUUAUUAUGUAGAGUUGGUUUUGUAUAGACUUAGUUUAUACUAAGCAUAUUUAAAGAGUGUAAGUUUGCUGAGAAUGUAAUUACAUAGAGUAGAGAGUGAAGGGUGUAGACUUGUGAAUAAAAGAUUAAGGUAGACUGUCCAUGAAAUUAUGGUAUUUUUUUAUGAUUAAAGUACAUAAUCCACACAAUUAAACAAAUUUCUUGUCAAUUAAAACCUCAAAUUAAAUGUUGAGAAUUGAGUCCUAUUCUGUUAAAAAACAAGUAGAAUCGAGUCCUAUUCUGUUAAAAAAAAAAAAUAAAAAAAAAACCCUCAAAUGACAAAUAGGCAUCAACGAGUAUUGACCAAUAUUAGUUAGAUGUAAAACUAAUCUUUAAACUAAGGAACACUAACAUGAUGCUCUGGUUAAAAAAUAAAAAAGAAAAAAUCAUGUCAAGUCAGAAAGUUCAUGGGAUACAUAUGCAAAUUUGUAGGACAUAGAUUUGAUUCGAUUAUUUUCAAACAAUAAACUCAAUACAUAAAUUAUUUAAUGAUUAUCUCCAGAAUGUUUUAGUCAUUCAUAUGUUUAAUCUUUAGGGGAUUCAACUUGAGAGGAUAGCAUUGUCUUCUCUUCCCAUACCGUGACAGUUUCUGUUCCAUUAUACAAAUGCUAUUGGUUAAUACAUCCAACUCUCAUGUUGGAGAAUAUUAGACAUCAAUGUUCCAUUUCUCAGACAUUUUGUUUUGCAGCUGCAAAUUUUGCUUUUUUUUUUUUUUUUUUAAUUCUUUUUUAUUAUAGACUGUGGCGGAGCUAAUAGUGGGUGAAAGUUGGUCAUUUUCCGUACUAAAAAAUAUGUAUAUUUGUCUUACAAUUUAAUUUUAAAUGCACGUUGAUCUUGCUUGUUAAUAUAGCAUGACUGCUCAAAUUUAAUUAAAUCCUAGAAGUUCGCUAUGCCUCUAAUAUAUUUAUAGGCUAAUAUUUACAAUGCAACCUAAGAUUUGGACUUUAAUUUUUUAUUAACAGAUUUAACUAUUUGAUUUUGAAUUCGUUGGUAUAAGCAGCUUAUUCAUAUUAAUAAUUUAUUUCAACUAGCUAAUUUAUCAAACAUUAACAUUGACUGAUUUGACUACUCAACUCUCUUUUAAAAUCAAAAUAAGUUAAAAUUGUACAAUAAAUUAUUUUUCCAAACACCUCUAUAAGAGAAAAUGUGCGUUUAUCGAAUUUCUCGUGGCUCGUCUAAGUUGGAGCUACUUUGAUUUGUGUUGGGACUACAUCUCCACUCAACCGAGCUUGGAGUAGAUGUAGAAAACUGGGAGGCAAAAAUGACAAAUGGCAAGUAGCUUUAAAUUGAUGGUUAGAGCUUAAGUAGACAAGAGGGUAAGACUGAAGAGGGUGUUUUUAUAAAGCUGAAAAGGUAAAGAGUAAAACAGAAAUUCUGAUUUAUGUAUGAAGACUGGAGUAGUAAGUUACUACAGGAGAUUCUUUGCGCAAAGUACAUAAUCAAGGAUCAUCGCUUUGACUGCUUCCUCUACCCUAGUGGAAAUCCAAUAUUAUUUUUUACCAACAUCAAUUUUACGAUUGGAAAAUAUAAUUUGAGACGAAUGCAAACAUUACGUUAUUAAAUUGUACCAACAGAAAUUUUAAAAGCGAAGAGAUAAUAGAUUUCCUGUUUUUUAGUGUGAGGGUAGGCUAAAAACACAAAUUAUUGUGAGAGACAGUUUUUUCGAGAGACGUAUUAGAUAAAUGGCUAAAUAAGUCAAUUUAUACAAAUUAAAGAGAAAAUAAAAAUAUGAACUUUUUAUUUAAGGUCGUUUCUUUGAGAGACGGUCUCUUACAAGAGUAGUUAGGCUAAAAAUUACUCAUCUAGAUAUUUUUGAGAAUCAAAUCACGGUCAUUAGGAUUGAAUGAAAAUCUCUCUGUUAUUAGACUAACCUAUAUUUCUCAAACUUUACCUCCUAUUUAUUAUCUCAAACCUAUAUUUUAAAAUUUUUCGCCCUUACUUUUUUUGCACAAGUAUUACCAUUGUAUAGAACAUUCAUAACAAUAGUGUUGAAUCUCUAGUUACAUAUACAUGCGGCCCAUCU